rnacentral:rRNA from 1 species
UGCGGCGAGCGAGCGGGAAGAGCUCAAAUUUAUAAUCUGGCACCUUCGGUGUCCGAGUUGUAAUCUCUAGAAGUGUUUUCCGCGUUGGACCGCACACAAGUCUGUUGGAAUACAGCGGCAUAGUGGUGAAACCCCCGUAUAUGGUGCGGACGCCCAGCGCUUUGUGAUACAUUUUCAAUGAGUCGAGUUGUUUGGGAAUGCAGCUCAAAUUGGGUGGUAAAUUCCAUCUAAAGCUAAAUAUUGGCGAGAGACCGAUAGCGAACAAGUACCGUGAGGGAAAGAUGAAAAGCACUUUGGAAAGAGAGUUAACAGUACGUGAAAUUGUUGGAAGGGAAACGCUUGAAGUCAGACUUGCUUGCCGGAGCUUGCUUCGGUUUGCAGGCCAGCAUCAGUUUUCCGGGGUGGAUAAUGACGGUUUGAAGGUAGCAGUCUCGGCUGUGUUAUAGCUUUCCGUUGGAUACAUCCUGGGGGACUGAGGAACGCAGCGUGCUUUUUGCGAAAGACUCGUCUUUUUCACGCUUAGGAUGCUGGUGGAAUGGCUUUAAACGACCCGCUGA